rnacentral:rRNA from 1 species
AUUUUGGACAAUGGGGGCAACCCUGAUCCAGCCAUGCCGCGUGAGUGAAGAAGGCCUUCGGGUUGUAAAGCUCUUUCGGCCGGAACGAAAUCGCAUCCUCUAAUACGGGGUGUGGAUGACGGUACCGGAAGAAGAAGCACCGGCUAACUACGUGCCAGCAGCCGCGGUAAUACGUAGGGUGCGAGCGUUAAUCGGAAUUACUGGGCGUAAAGCGUGCGCAGGCGGUUCGCUAAGACAGGUGUGAAAUCCCCGGGCUUAACCUGGGAAUGGCGCUUGUGACUGGCGGGCUUGAGUACGGCAGAGGGAGGUGGAAUUCCACGUGUAGCAGUGAAAUGCGUAGAGAUGUGGAGGAACACCGAUGGCGAAGGCAGCCUCCUGGGCCAGUACUGACGCUCAUGCACGAAAGCGUGGGGAGCAAAC